rnacentral:rRNA from 1 species
AUACGGAGGGGGCAAACGUUGUUCGGAAUUACUGGGCGUAAAGGGCGCGUAGGCGGAUUAUCAAGUCAGAGGUGAAAGCCCUGGGCUCAACCUAGGAACUGCCUUUGAAACUGAUAGUCUUGAGUCCGAGAGAGGAUGGCGGAAUUCCCAGUGUAGAGGUGAAAUUCGUAGAUAUUGGGAAGAACACCAGUGGCGAAGGCGGCCAUCUGGCUCGGUACUGACGCUGAGGCGCGAAAGCGUGGGGAGCAAACAGGAUUAGAAACCCCAGUAGUCC